rnacentral:rRNA from 1 species
GUCUAUGGCCAUGCCACCCUGAAGAAUCCCGAUCCCGUCUGAUCUCGGAAGCUAAGCAGGGUCAGGCCUGAUAAGUACUUGGUACUGUAGGCA